CCUAAUAUUUUCUAUUUCACUUAAAAAUAGUUAGUAGUAUAUUGAAAAUUACGUUUUGUGCAAAAUGGCAGAAUCCUCAAACAUAAUAUGUGCAUGCUGCUUGGAGAUAUUUGGUAAAAGAUCUAAAAAAGUGUUAAAAAUCACUCCAGGGAUUGAAAGACAUAUUCAAAACCUUUAUGGAAAGAAUAUGAUGUGGAAAAAGAAUGUUGUCCCAAAUAUAUAUGUUCAUCAUGUGUAACAAACCUUUAUGCUUUACACAGAGGAGAAACACAAAAAAUUGGGUUGUGGAUAGCUAAAAUAUCACAGAUUGAUUGACAAAAGUUAAAAAGAGCAUCAAAUAUUAAACAAAAGGCAUUAGAAAUUGUUCCAGUCAAUGAUGGAAACACAGAAAAUCCUAUCAAACUGCAUAAAAUAUGUUCUCUGUGUUUUUCAAUUACUGGUUAGUAUAUUUUUCAAUAAUUUAACUAUAUAUUAUAAUAAAUUCAAUUUUAUAUACAAUAAAAUAAUUGUGAGUUUGUAAACAAAUAACUUGAACUAAUGAUAACUGUUAAAUGAUUUUUAAAAUGAUUACUUAUAAUUACUCUUUAAUUCAAGCAAGAGGAUUAUCUCAUUUGCGCUGCAAAAGCCAAGCUGUUAAAAAUCUCAUUAGCCAUUCAGAAGCUCUUGGACAUGUAUGUAGUGAACAAAUAGCAUCAGUUGCUUAAUUUCAACUUUAAAUUUAUAAAAGUUUUUUUAAUUAUAUCUGAAACUUAUAAUCAGUGCAAAACCUUAAAAGAAAACUUUUUUAGAGU